rnacentral:rRNA from 1 species
GGUCAAGCGACUAAGCGCGCAGGGUGGAUGCCUAGGCGGCAAGAGGCGAAGAAGGACGCGGUAGCCUGCGAUAAGCCCCGCGGAGCCGGCAAACAGGCUUUGAUGCGAGGAUUUCCGAAUGGGGCAACCCGUCCGCCGCAAGGCGGACAUUGCCGGCCGAAUCCAUAGGCCGGCGAAGCGAACCCGGCGAACUGAAACAUCUAAGUAGCCGGAGGAAGAGAAAUCAACCGAGAUUCCCUAAGUAGCGGCGAGCGAACGGGGAACAGCCAGCGCUGUUUAGCGCCGGCCCCAGCCCAACGGUCUGGAAAGACCGGCCAUAGAGGGUGACAGCCCCGUAGGCGAAAGGGCGGGCGUGGAACCAGGAGCGCAGCAAGUAGGGCGGGACACGUGAAACCCUGCCCGAAGACGGGGGGACCAUCCUCCAAGGCUAAAUACUCCUUGCCGACCGAUAGCGAACCAGUACCGUGAGGGAAAGGCGAAAAGAACCCCGACGAGGGGAGUGAAACAGAACCUGAAACCGUGCGCGUACAAGCAGUCGGAGCCCUCGAGGCGCCUCGGCGCUCACAGGGGGUGACGGCGUACCUUUUGUAUAAUGGGUCAGCGACUUACUGUCCGCGGCCGCUUAACCGACACCAGGGGAGGCGCAGGGAAACCGAGUCCGAAACGGGCGCCGGGUCGCAGGCAGUAGACCCGAAACCGGGCGAGCUAUCCAUGGCCAGGGCGAAGGCCGGGUAAAACCGUCUGAAGGCCCGAACCGGUUGCUGUUGAAAAAGCAUCGGAUGAGCUGUGGAUCGGAGUGAAAGGCUAACCAAGCCCGGAGAUAGCUGGUUCUCCCCGAAAGCUAUUUGGGUAGCGCCUCGCGCGUCGCUCCCGGGGGUAGAGCACUGUUAUGGCUAGGGGGGUAUCCCACCCUGCCAACCCAUGGCAAACUCCGAAUACCGGGAAGCGCCAGCGCGGGAGACACACGGCGGGUGAGAAAAUCCGUCGUGGAAAGGGAAACAACCCAGACCGUCGGCUAAGGUCCCCAAAUCACGGCUCAGUGGUUAACGAGGUGGGAAGGCACAGACAGCCAGGAGGUUGGCUUAGAAGCAGCCAUCCUUUAAAGAAAGCGUAACAGCUCACUGGUUCAGUCGGCCCGCGCGGAAAAUGUAACGGGGCUCAAGCCGUGUACCGAAGCCGCGGGCGCCACGCCCCCCUGACCGGGGGCGCGGCGCGGUAGGGGAGCGUCCCGUAGGCCGAACAAGACGCGUCGCGAGACGCGUUGCAGGCAUCGGGAGCGCGAAUGCUGACAUGAGUAACGAUAAUGCAGGCGAAAAUCCUGCACGCCGAAAGCCCAAGGAUUCCUGCGCCACGUUCAUCGACGCAGGGUCAGUCGGCCCCUAAGGCCAGGCCGAAAGGCGUAGUCGAUGGGAAACAGGUCAAUAUUCCUGUACCUCGUUUCGUUGCGAUGGGGGGACGGAGAAGGCUAGACCGGCCGGGCGCUGGAAGUCCCGGUGCAAGCGCGUAGGCGGCGCUUUUAGGCAAAUCCGAAAGCGCAUUAACGCCAAGACGUAACGGCAAGCGGCCCUAGCGGGCCGCGAAGCGGUCCAUGCCACACUCCCCGGAAAAGCCCCUAAGCUUCAGACGAAACGAGACCGUACCCCAAACCGACACAGGUGGGCCGGGAGAGUAUCCCGAGGCGCUUGAGAGAACUCUGGUAAAGGAACUCGGCAAAAUGACACCGUAACUUCGGGAGAAGGUGUGCCUCCAGUACGUGAACGAGCCAGCCUCGGGAGCGGAACGAGGUUGCAGUGACCAGGUGGCUGCGACUGUUUACUAAAAACACAGCACUCUGCCAACUCGCAAGAGGACGUAUAGGGUGUGACGCCUGCCCGGUGCCGGAAGGUCAAUUGAUGGGGUUCGCCUCAGGCAACGCCCCGGAUCGAAGCCCCGGUAAACGGCGGCCGUAACUAUAACGGUCCUAAGGUAGCGAAAUUCCUUGUCGGGUAAGUUCCGACCUGCACGAAUGGCGCAACGAUGGCCACACUGUCUCUACCAGAGACUCAGUGAAAUUGAACUCGCUGUGACGAUGCAGCGUACCUGCGGCUAGACGGAAAGACCCCGUGAACCUUUACUACAGCUUUGCACUGGAUUUCCGACUGGCUUGUCUAGGAUAGGCGGGAGGCACGGAAGCGCCGGCGCCAGCCGACGCCGAGCCGACCUUGGAAUACCGCCCUGGCAAGUUGGAGAUUCUAACCCAGGCCCGUACAGCCGGGCCGGGAACCCUGCAUGGCGGGUAGUUUGACUGGGGCGGUCUCCUCCCAAAAAGUAACGGAGGAGCGCAAUGGCGCCCUCAGCGCGGUCGGAAAUCGCGUGUGGCGCGUAAAGGCACAAGGGCGCUUGACUGCGAGACGGACCGGUCGAGCAGGUGUGAAAGCAGGCCUUAGUGAUCCGGUGGUUCCGAAUGGAAGGGCCAUCGCUCAACGGAUAAAAGGUACUCCGGGGAUAACAGGCUAAUUCCGCCCAAGAGCUCGCAUCGACGGCGGAGUUUGGCACCUCGAUGUCGACUCAUCGCAUCCUGGGGCUGAAGCAGGUCCCAAGGGUAUGGCUGUUCGCCAUUUAAAGCGGUACGUGAGUUGGGUUUAGAACGUCGUGAGACAGUUCGGAUCCUAUCUGCCGUAGGCGUUUGGAGACGUGCGGAGAGCCGCUCCCAGUACGAGAGGACCGGAGCGGACGCGCCUCUGGUGUUCCGGUUGUCACGCCCGUGGCAGCGCCGGGUAGCCACGCGCGGAAGGGAUAACCGCUGAAAGCAUCUAAGCGGGAAGCCCCCUCCCAGACCCCGUCUCCCAGAACCCGCGCGACGGGUUCCUGAAGGGCCGUGGAAGACCACCACGUCAAUAGGCCGGAUGUGAAAGCGCAGCAAUGCGUGCAGCUAACCGGUACUAAUCGCCCGUGAGGCUUGAGCGC